GUUGCAAGAAAGUGGUCACAACGUGCAUUAGCUCAUAUUUGGAGACACAUUCUACAGACAGGUAAAAAAAAACCACACACACACACACACACACACACACACACACACACACACACACACACACCACUUGUGAUCCGAUCACUCAGGACAGAUGUUAAAACCAGGUCAAGUCAGGAUAAACACCCUAAAACACUGCUUCAUGUAAAUGGUCUUUUCUAUGAAUGUGUCACCCACUCUUAGUGUUCUUUU